rnacentral:lncRNA from 1 species
CCCACCUCCCCGCACCGCGCACGCCGAGCGCUGCCUUUGCCGCCCCCGCCGGCUGCAGGGCCCCGUGCCUUGGCGGGCCUCAUCCCGGCGGGGUGCGGCGGGAGGCGAUCGUGCCGUCCUCACCUUCGCGCGGGGCGAAGAGUGCAACUGCGGCCUCACCCGCGGCCUCCCGCUGCACCCAGCCCCCAACCAACAAACCUGAUCGGCCGCCUCCAGCACCGAAUCCCGGCCGCGGUAACAAAACGCAUGCGCACACCCUUCCCUUCUCCCUUCCAGAGCGCAUGCGCGCACGCUCGCUACCGGCGGCGGGGGUGCAUCGCGAGAAGGGCCGUUGGGCUGGCGCUGCCUGCGCUGCCGCCUGCUCUCGAGAGAAACUGGGUAUGCAGAAAGAGCUGGGAUGGAACAGAACUGGAACUGCUGACCCAAACUGACCAAAGGGAUGUCCUGUACCUGAAUGGCGUCAUGCGGAACAAUAAAACUGGAUGACUUAGCUGGGAGGGCUGCCGCUGCUCGGGGCCUGGCUGGACAUCAGUCACCCGGAAGCCAAGAUAGUGUGCACCUGAAGCUUACUUGAACUAA